UGACGGAGAAUUAGGGUUCGAUUCCGGAGAGGGAGCCUGAGAAACGGCUACCACUUCUAAGGAAGGCAGCAGGCGCGCAAAUUACCCAAUCCUGAUUCAGGGAGGUAGUGACAAGAAAUAACAAUAGUUCGCGUUCUACGCAAGCUAAUUGGAAUGAGUACAAUUUAAACAUCUUAACGAGCACCAAUUGGAGGGCAAGUCUGGUGCCAGCAGCCGCGGUAAUUCCAGCUCCAAUAGCGUAUACUAAAGUUGUUGCAGUUAAAAAGCUCGUAGUUGGAUUUCUGCGCGGGUGGGGCACUCUUCGGCCUUCAAGGUCGGUAUGGGUUCGCAACGCCCGCGCAUCCUGUCGCGAACCACGCUACCAUUCACUUGGUGGCGUCUGGGGAUCGACUCGUUUACUUUGAGAAAAAUAGAGUGUUCAAAGCAGGCCUGAUGCCUUGAAUAAUGUAGCAUGGAAUAAUGAUAAAGGACUUUGGUUCUAUUUUGUUGGUGUUCGGAACCGAAGUAAUGAUUGAUAGGGACAGUUGGGGGCGUCUGUAUUCUGAAGCGAGAGGUGAAAUUCUUAGACCUUCGGAAGACAAACAGCUGCGAAAGCGUUCGCCAAGGAUGUUCCCUUUGAUCAAGAACGAAAGUUGGGGGGUCGAAGACGAUCAGAUACCGUCGUAGUCUCAACUAUAAACUAUACCAGCUAGGGAUCGGCCAACGUUGACUUCAAAAGACUUGGUCGGCACCUUAUGAGGAAUCAAAGCAUCUGGGUUCCGGGGGGAGUAUGGUCGCAAGGCUGAAACUUAAAGGAAUUGACGGAAGGGCACCACCAGGCGUGGAGCCUGUGGCUUAAUUUGACUCAACACGGGGAAACUUACCAGGUCCAGACAUGAGAAGGAUUGACAGAUUGACAGCUCUUUCUUGAUUUUAUGGGUGGUGGUGCAUGGCCGUUCUUAGUUGGUGGAGUGAUUUGUCUGGUUAAUUCCGUUAACGAACGAGACCCCAGCCUGCUAAAUAGCGCGCGUGGCCUCCGGCCGCGGCGAGCUUCUUAGAGGGACUACGGCCCGCCAUAGGCCGGGGAAGUUUGGGGCAAUAACAGGUCUGUGAUGCCCUUAGAUGUUCUGGGCCGCACACGGGCUACACUGACGCGUGCAACGAGCAUAUCAGCUGGCCCGAGAGGGCAUUGGGCUAAUCUUCUGAACUCGCGUCGUGCUAGGGAUUGACUAUUGCAAUUGUUAGUCAUGCAACGAGGAAUGCCUUGUAAACGCGAGUCAUCAACUCGCAUUGAAUACGUCCCUGCCCUUUGUACACACCGCCCGUCGCUCCUACCGAUGAAUGUUCCGAUGAAAUUUUCGGAGGGCGCCUGUGAUGGCGGUUAUGCCGUCGGAACGGGAGGCCCUAAGUUGCUUAAAUCUGAACGUUUCGAGGAAGGAGAAGUCGUAACAAGGUUUCCGUAGGUGAACCUGCGGAAGGAUCAUUGACACACAAAAAGAUGCGCUGCAAAGCGAAUCUAAAAAACUUUCCACCGCGUUAUGAGAAACCUCGCAAUGGGCGGCCCUUUCAAACGGGCCACCAUCCGCGUUGUUUUUCAGUCGGCUCCAUUACUACAAAAUUUAUUUUUCACCCAAACCACCAACCCGCGCUUGAAGCGACCUCUCGUAAAAAAAGAGGCUGCAACAAAAUCAAACCAAAAGAUUUACCUUUCAACGAUGGAUCUCUUGGUUCCCGCAACGAUGAAGAACGCCGCGAAACGCGAUAUGUAAUGUGAAUUGCAGGAUUAAGUGAAUCAUCAAAUCUUUGAACGCAAAUUGCUGCUCGGACUCCUGCAGCCCGAGCAUACCUGCUACAGACUCGUUUUCCAAACUCAAAAUGCAUUUACAUAGAGGACUAUGGGCGUUGCAGGCGUAUAAAAUCGCCUGGAUCGCCUCAAGAGCUGGGGGGACCGGCCCCUGCUGAGCGAUAACCUUUCAACCUCUUUUGAUUGGAUGCGCCAAGGUAGUGUAACAGCGACCCGCGGCGCUCCUAAAAAAAAAAGUAACCGACUGGGUUCGGCGGACCGAAUCUUAACACACUUUUAAAACUAGAGCUGUAGUCAGGCAAGAGGACCCGCCGAAUUUAAGCAUAUUACUAAGCGGAGGAAAAGAAACUAACCAGGAUUCCCUCAGUAACGGCGAGUGAAGCGGGAUCAGCUCAACUUGAAAACCUGCGCCCUUCGGGCGUCGGAUUGUAGCCUGGGUGUGGGCCCCGGAGGUUGCGCCCGGUGUAAUUCGGUAUUGAGAUACCGAGCCGGAGAGG
rnacentral:rRNA from 1 species